rnacentral:misc_RNA from 1 species
UCCGCCCCGGGCGCCUGGUGUCCUCAAUCGCCGGACGGGCUGAUUUUUCGCGUCGGCGAAAUCAAGCCCGUCCGACGAUUGAGGACCGGGGUUCGGGGCGG